AUUGAACGCUGGCGGCAGGCCUAACACAUGCAAGUCGAGCGGAGCGGCGGACGGGUGAGUAAUGCCUAGGAAUCUGCCUGGUAGUGGGGGAUAACGUCCGGAAACGGGCGCUAAUACCGCAUACUAUCAGAUGAGCCUAGGUCGGAUUAGCUGGUUGGUGGGGUAAAGGCAUACCAAGGCGAAGCGCCGUAACUGGUCUGAGAGGAUGAUCAGUCACACUGCAACGUGUACACUGUCCAGACUCAUACGGGAGGCAGCAGUGGGGAAUGUUGGACAAUGGGCGAAAGCCUGAUCCAGCCAUGCCUCGUGUGUGAAGAAGGCCUUCGGGUUGUAAAGUACUUUCGGCAGAGAAGCGUUAUCUGCAGAAUAAGCACCGGCUAACUACGUGCCAGCAGCCGCGGUAAUUC
rnacentral:rRNA from 1 species